CCCAGUUCAGAUUGCAGGCUGCAACCCGCCUGCAUGAAGCCGGAAUCGCUAGUAAUCGCGGAUCAGCAUGCCGCGGUGAAUGUGUUCCUGAGCCUUGUACACACCGCCCGUCAAGCCACCAAAGUGGGGGGCAUCCGAAGUCGCCAAGCUAACCCUCUCCCGAGGGAGGCAGGCGCCGAAGAUGAACUCCGCGAUGGGGACUAAGUCGUAACAAGGUAGCCGUAGGGGAACCUGCGGCUGGAUCACCUCCUUUCUAAGGA
rnacentral:rRNA from 1 species